rnacentral:rRNA from 1 species
UAGCCGUAAACGAUGCGGACUGGGUGUUGGGAUGGCUUUGAGCUGUUCCGGUGCCGAAGGGAAGCUGUUAAGUCCGCCGCCUGGGAAGUACGGUCGCAAGACUGAAACUUAAAGGAAAUUGGCGGGGGGAGGCACCACAACGCGUGGAGCCUGCGGUUUAAUUUGGAUUCAACGCCGGAGAUCUCACCAGGGGCGGACAGCAGUAUGAUGGCCAGGUUGAUGGCCUCGCUUGACAAGCUGAGAGGAGGUGCAUGGCGUCAGUGACU